CCUACGGGUGGCAGCAGUGGGGAAUAUUGCACAAUGGGGGAAACCCUGAUGCAGCGACGCCGCGUGAGUGAAGAAGUAUCUCGGUAUUUAAAGCUCUAUCAGUAGGGAAGUAAAAAGACGCUACCUGACUAAUAUGUCUCGGCUAACUACGUACCAGCCGCCGCGGUAAUACGCAGGAGGCAAGCGUUAUCCGGAUUUACUGGGUGUAAAGGGAGCGUAGACGGAUGUGCAAGUCAGAAGUGAAAGCCCAGGGCUCAACCCUGGGACUGCAGUGGAAACUGGGAAGCUAGAGUGCUGUAGAGGUAAGUGGAAUUCGUGGUGUAGCGGUGAAAUGCGUAGAUAUUAGGAAGAACACCGGUGGCGAAGGCAGCUUACUGGACAGUAACUGACGUUGAGGCUCGAAAGUGUGGGGAGCAAACAGGAUUAGAUACCCUAGUAGUC
rnacentral:rRNA from 1 species